rnacentral:rRNA from 1 species
GAUGAACGCUAGCUACAGGCUUAACACAUGCAAGUCGAACGGCAGCACAGGUAGCAAUACCGGGUGGCGAGUGGCGGGCGGGUGAGUAAUGCAUCGGGAUCUACCCAAACGUGGGGGAUAACGUAGGGAAACUUACGCUAAUACCGCAUACGUCCCAUGGGAGAAAGCGGGGGCUCGCAAGACCUCGCGCGGUUGGACGAACCGAUGUGCGAUUAGCUAGUUGGCGGGGUAAUGGCCCACCAAGGCGACGAUCGCUAGCUGGUCUGAGAGGAUGAUCAGCCACACUGGGACUGAGACACGGCCCAG